rnacentral:rRNA from 1 species
GGUUAAGCGACUAAGCGUACACGGUGGAUGCCCUGGCAGUCAGAGGCGAUGAAGGACGUGCUAAUCUGCGAAAAGCGUCGGUAAGGUGAUAUGAACCGUUAUAGCCGGCGAUGUCCGAAUGGGGAAACCCAGUGUGAUUCGUCACACUAUCGUUAACUGAAUACAUAGGUUAACGAGGCGAACCGGGGGAACUGAAACAUCUAAGUACCCCGAGGAAAAGAAAUCAACCGAGAUUCCCCCAGUAGCGGCGAGCGAACGGGGAGCAGCCCAGAGUCUGAAUCAGCUUGUGUGUUAGUGGAACGGUCUGGAAAGUCCGACGGUACAGGGUGAUAGUCCCGUACACCAAAAUGCACAGGUUGUGAACUCGAAGAGUAGGGCGGGACACGUGGUAUCCUGUCUGAAUAUGGGGGGACCAUCCUCCAAGGCUAAAUACUCCUGACUGACCGAUAGUGAACCAGUACCGUGAGGGAAAGGCGAAAAGAACCCCGGCGAGGGGAGUGAAAAAGAACCUGAAACCGUGUACGUACAAGCAGUGGGAGCACC